CGCCUCUUGAAGUCCCACAAUAAGAGGUCCUGCCUGCCCUGUGACAAUAUGUUUAACGGCCGCGGUAUUUUAACCGUGCAAAGGUAGCGCAAUCACUUGUCUUUUAAAUAAAGACCUGUAUGAAUGGCAUAACGAAGGCCUAGCUGUCUCCUCUUUCAAGUCAAUGAAACUGAUCUUUCCGUGCAGAAGCGGGAAUUUAACCAUAAGACGAGAAGACCCUAUGGAGCUUUAGAUACUAUAGCAGCUUAUAUCAAACACUCCAAAAUAAAAGGAGAAGAAACUAAAUUGCCCUGCCCUAAUAUCUUUGGUUGGGGCGACCACGGGAAAUUAAAUAACUCCCAUGCGGAACAGGAGAACUACUCCCACAACUAAGAGUUACAACUCUAAUAAACAAAAUUCUGACCAAUAAGAUCCGGCAAUGCCGAUCAACGGACCGAGUUACCCUAGGGAUAACAGCGCAAUCCUCUUUUAGAGCCCAUAUCGACAAGAGGGUUUACGACCUCGAUGUUGGAUCAGGACAUCCUAAUGGUGCAGCCGCUAUUAAAGUUCGUUUGUUCAACGAUUAAAGUCCU
rnacentral:rRNA from 1 species